GGGCCGUUAGCUCAGUUGGUAGAGCAGAUGACUCUUAAUCAUCGGGUCGGAGGUUCGAUCCCUCCACGGCCCAUCA
rnacentral:tRNA from 1 species